rnacentral:rRNA from 1 species
UAUUUUGGUGGCGACCGGCGCACGGGUGAGUAACGCGUAUGCAACCUACCCUGUACAGGGGGAUAGCCCGGAGAAAUUCGGAUUAAUACCCCAUAAAUAUAUUAGGAGGCAUCUUCAGAUAUUUAAAGUUUCGACGGUACGGGAUGGGCAUGCGUAACAUUAGCUAGUUGGUAAGGUAACGGCUUACCAAGGCUACGAUGUUUAGGGGUCCUGAGAGGGUGAUCCCCCCACACUGGUACUGAGACACGGACCAG